GACAAUGAGAAAGUGACACAAAAUUUAUAAAAGAUAAUGUAAAGUGAAAAGAAAUAGUAAUGAAAUUAAAGAUAGAUCUCAAAGGAAAUAAUUUAAAGUAAAAGAUUUUGCAUUAAAUGAAAUGGUAUUUGAAAUCAUAUAUUCCCCCUCAGAUAACUCAUUUCUCGCUUUGUUUGGGUACGUUGAGUUUGUGAGUUUUUUAAGUAAAUUCGAAAGAACACUCUGAAUCCUAACAUUAAAUUCUUAUUUAUACUAAUAAAAUAAUUAUUUAUAAUAUUCUUCUUUUCAGAUGACAUGUAAUUCCUGCCUAAUUUUCUUGAAGUAGAGGUAUUGCGCUUAGAUCGAGAAAAAACACAUACUAGAAUAGUAGUCUCUCAAGCCUUUGGCUGAUGUAGUCUUGCAUUUGUAGAUUAAGGUUCCCUUGUUAGGACUGUUUUCUGUUAAUCAAGGAUAAUGUUAUCCUAAGAACAUGUCUAACUAAGUUACAAUACUCAGACACACCAUACACGAAUCAUUUCAUCUCCUAAUAAUAAAGUAAAGAAGAUUAAACAAAAUUACACUAAGUUAUUACAUUUCAGUACAGUAGAAUACAUCAGUUUUCAUCUCCUAAUGAAAGUUGAAGAAGUUUAAGGCCAAACAAAAUCCACACAUACCCUGGAUUCAAAUUCCAAUGGAUUAUUCUCAAUCACAGUUUCUUCAUCUUUCAAAGUUUUUCUCUGAGCAGCAGGAGCCGAUGAAGAAGAAAGAGAAGAUGGAGGAUAUGUGGCUAAUAGAGCUGUAGCAUCCCACUCAUGGAUCCAAAGAAGGUCCGAAAAUAAAAGUAUCAACGAAGCCAUUGCAAAUGAAUUUCGAGAUUAAUUGUAUGAUGAUGAAUUUGAAGUUGAUGGUUAAUAUGAAAAUUCUCAAAGUUAUAUAUAAUUGAAAUGAAUGAGUUGAGUAAAGUGGUUACAGAUUAUGAGUUUUCUGUUAGCCGGUACUGCUGUUUAUUGUUGCGGUCGCCGCUGUUUUUUCCUAUGCAUGUUGUCGCCAUCUGUAUUGUUUAGGGAUAUUGAAAACCACGUUUAGG
rnacentral:lncRNA from 1 species